GACGACGCUGGCGGCGUGCUUAACACAUGCAAGUCGAACGAGUGGCGGACGGGUGAGUAAUGCUUAGGAAUUUGCCUGGUCGCGUGGGAUAACUUCCGGUAACGGUAGCUAACUCCGCAUACUAUCGGAUGUGCCUAGAGGGGAUUAGCUGGUAGGUGGGGUAAAGGCUCACCUAGGCGACGAUGCCUAGCUGGUCUGAGAGGAUGACCGGCCAAACUGGAACAGAGCCACGGACCAAACUCCUACGGGAGGAAGGGGUGGGGAAGAUUGCGCUAUGGGCGCAAGCCUGAUGGAGCCAUGCCGCGUGGAUGAAGGGGGCCUUCGGGUUGUAAGGUACUAUCAGUGGGGAGGCGUUACCCGGAGAAGAAGCACCGGCUAACUCCGUGCCAGCAGCCGCGGUAAUUC
rnacentral:rRNA from 1 species